GGGCGCAACCCUGACGCAGCAACGCCGCGUGAGUGAUGAAGGCCUUCGGGUCGUAAAGCUCUGUCCUAUGGAAAGAAAUGUGUGACGGUUACCAUGGGUGGAACCUGCCGGUACCCUCA
rnacentral:rRNA from 1 species